UACGGAGGAUCCAAGCGUUGUCCGGAUUUAUUGGGUUUAAAGGGUGCGUAGGCGGAUCUUUAAGUCAGUGGUGAAAGCCUGCAGCUCAACUGUAGAACAGCCAUUGAAACUGAAGAUCUUGAAUAUGGUUAAAGUAGGCGGAAUGUAUCAUGUAGCGGUGAAAUGCUUAGAUAUGAUACAGAACACCGAUAGCGAAGGCAGCUUGCUGAACCAUUAUUGACGCUGAGGCGCGAAAGCUAGGGGAGCAAACGGG
rnacentral:rRNA from 1 species